ensembl:lncRNA
AUAAUGGGAGCUGAUCAAGAAGAGAGAGGCACAGAGUCUCGUAAUUGUUUCCCCAAACAAUGUAAUUUCCAGUACGCACAGGACACUCAUGAAAACACAGCGAUACCAGAACAAAAACUGAAAUAUGUCAUCCAAAUGGCACAUGGAAAGCCAUUGCUGAUGACCUACAUUUUUAAACCAUCCUCCAGAAUGGUUUGGAGGAUUUUUUUAUGACUGUUCUGAUACAAAUGGUACCCCGGCAUAAGAAAAAGUAAACCUUACACACUACAUUAAAGCGAUAAAAGCAUCUGGAGGUCAGAUACUCUGCUAAGGAAGCAGCUAGCAAACUGAGAUGUUAGCAAACAUUUUCAGUGUAGUAAGGGCCUAGAUACACUGUUUUAAAUGAAUAUUUCUAUGCAUGCUGUUAGUGAUGGCCACAUUUUCAAAUUUCAGAAUAGCUAAGUAGGAAGCUCGAUGAUACUGGUAGAGAGAAAUGCAGCAUGUCAUGGAAGAUGCUGUCACGAGCGGGUGGACUGCAGGUGGACUUUAUCGUUCCCAUUGUGAAAGCAUUAAAGAACAGAAGCGUCGUGCCCUGACAUUGAGUUACAUGCCCAAGUCGGCUGCAGGAUUGGAACGAAGAGCCUCUGAAAUAGAGGCCCCCAGCACAAUGCAAUCAGGCUGCUAUAAAAGGCAACACAUGCCAGUUUUCCUCCCCAAUGGCAGAUGCCACACCCUCAAGCAGACAGAAGGCACUGCAG